CAAUCAGUCGUGAUACAAUAAAACUGACGCGGCGUCAGAAGUCAGCUGAGUCAUAGUACCCCGAUGUAUAUCGGGGGAAGGCA
rfam:Candidatus Ryanbacteria bacterium RIFCSPLOWO2_01_FTLL_48_26 rifcsplowo2_01_scaffold_49907, whole genome shotgun sequence.